UCAAGUAAGUAAGGGCGUACGGCGGAUGCCUUGGCCAUAUCAGCCGAAGAAGGACGCGAUAAGCUGCGAUAAGCUGCGGUGAGGUGCAAGUAACCUUUGACCCGCAGAUUUCCGAAUGGGGAAACCCGGCAGCAGUAGUGCUGUCAUCCUCUAUGAGGAAGGGCACCCGGUGAACUGAAACAUCUAAGUAGCCGGAGGAAAAGGAAUCAACAGAGAUACCCCUAGUAGCGGCGAGCGAACGGGGCAGAGCCCAAACCGGGAUGGGAAACCAAUCCGGGGUUGUGGACUGCUAUCAAAUGCAUGAGUGAAGCAGAAUGAGCUGGGAAGCUCAGCCAGAGAGAGUGAGAGCCUCGUAGGCGUAAGCGAAUGCAUGGAGCAGGAUCCGGAGUACCACGGGACACGAGAAACCCUGUGGGAAGCUGGGGGGACCACCCUCCAAGGCGAAACACUGAUAUGGACCGAUAGCGCAUAGUACCGUGAGGGAAAGGUGAAAAGAACCCCGGGAGGGGAAUGAAAGAGAACCUGAAACCGUAUGUCUACAAGCAGUCGAAGACCUUUAUAUGGUCGACGGCGUGCCUAUUGAAGAAUGAACCGGCGAGUUACUUCAGCUAGCGAGGUUAAGCAGAAAAUGCGGAGCCGCAGCGAAAGCGAGUCUGAACAGGGCGUAUAGUUAGUUGGAGUAGACCCGAAACCACAGUGAUCUACCCAUGUCCAGGUUGAAGCACAGGUAAAAAUGUGUGGAGGACCGAACCAGUGAGCGUUGAAAAGCUUUUGGAUGAGAUGUGGGUAGGGGUGAAAUGCCAAUCGAACGUGGAGAUAGCUGGUUCUCCCCGAAAUAGCUUUAGGGCUAGCCUCAUGGCGAGAGUACAGGCGGUAGAGCACUGAACGGGGUAGGGGCCUAUCCGGCUACUGAACCUAAUCAAACUGCGAAUGGCUGUACUUAUCCAUGGGAGUCAGACUGUGAGUAAUAAGGCCCAUAGUCAAGAGGGAAACAGCCCAGACCAACAGCUAAGGUCCCCAAUGCCGUACUAAGUGGCGAAGGAUGUGGAAUUUCGAAAACAACCAGGAUGUUGGCUCAGAAGCAGCCACCAUUAAAAGAGUGCGUAAUAGCUCACUGGUCGAGAGACUCUGCGCCGAAGAUGUCCGGGGCUAAAGUACGGAACCGAAGCUUUGGCAAUUAACAUAAGUUAAUUGGGUAGGGGAGCGUUCCUGCAUGGGAGAAGCCUGACCGGAAGGACAGGUGGACAGGCAGGAAGAGAGAAUGCCGGUAUGAGUAGCGAAAAGAAGGGUGAGAAUCCCUUCCACCGAAAGCCUAAGGGUUCCUGGGCAACGAUCGUCGUCCCAGGGUAAGUCGGGACCUAAUCCGAGGCGGAGACGCGUAGGAGAUGGACAACAGGUUGAAAUUCCUGUACUGGCUGAGGCCGUUUGAGCGAAGGAGUGACACAGGAAGGAAGGCGCGCGUGCGAUUGGAAGAGCACGUCCAAGCAGGUAGGUCGGGAGACAGGCAAAUCCGUUUCCCAUAAGGCCGAGAUGCGAUGGGGAGCUUCUGGAGACAGAAGCGAAGGGGCUGGCACUAAACUGUCGAGAAAAGCUUCUAGUGAGGACUCAGGCACCCGUACCGAAACCGACACAGGUAGGCAGGAUGAGAAUUCUAAGGUGCGCGGGAAAACCCUCGUUAAGGAACUCGGCAAAAUAUAUCCGUAACUUCGGGAAAAGGAUAACCCAGCGUACGUGAAGUGCAGAAGCGCAUGGAGCGGAGAUGGGUGGCAGAAGAGAGGCCCAAGCGACUGUUUACCACAAACACAGGCGUCUGCUAAAGCGAAAGCUGAUGUAUAGAUGCUGACACCUGCCCGGUGCUGGAAGGUUAAGAGGAAGUGUUAGCGCAAGCGAAGCAGUGAAUUGAAGCCCCAGUAAACGGCGGCCGUAACUAUAACGGUCCUAAGGUAGCGAAAUUCCUUGUCGGGUAAGUUCC
rnacentral:rRNA from 1 species